CGGGCUCUGGAGGGGGAGGGGAGCGGUGGGGAAGGGCGAGGUCCGGCACCGCCCGCGGCGGGCGCGAGCGGCGGUCGAGGAUUCCGUGGACGGCCUUUGCCUGCCCGGAAACUGGGGGGUGGGCCCGGACCACGGCUCCGGUCGUCCCGUGCAAGCUUCAGGCAUCCGGAGCCCCACAGGGCCUGGUGCUGGUCACGUCGCCGAGUAGCGGUGCACUGUCCCGGACCUCUGCCCUCGGAAGAAAGCGCAUACUUUUGGCACUGCUGGAAAUAAUGGCCUCCGCGAGGAGUGCGCUCGGGGAGCAGCUGCCGGGCCCCAAGUCCCGCGGCCUGGGCGCCGCCCUAGGCCUGGCCGUGCUCGCAGCCUGGAUCCCCUCACCCGCGCCAAAAGUGAAGGAGGAAAAAGGCCUCUGACCCUGGCCAAUACACCCCGGGCUGGAGGGAAUGAAGAGUCGCCUGCGGGGUCUGGCUCGCUGACCAUGGCUCUCCACCGCCGAAGGUCUGUCUGUUGGCGGCACUUUCCGGCCAAAAUUUGAUGCUACCUGCGUUUACCCUGUAUCUUAUCAGUAAUUAAUUAUAGUAUUAUAAGAAAAAGCAAUUAAAAAUGUUAAGCGGGAUCGCCAGGAUGUUGGGGUUUGUUGCUGUGAUCUGGUCUCACUGGGGCCUUCGUGGAGUGCUAGGGGGCUGCUUGUGGACAGACCUGGGAGAAAACGCACUUAGAAUCCUCAUCACACCUUGCAACCCAGAAAAGCGUUUUCUGCCUCCACUACUUGCGAAAACCCUUAGCAAUAAAACUUUCUUAUUCUGACCGUCUCUCGUGUGCAAAUAAAAGUCAUGGGUCUGGUGGUCAAUCCAUAGUAUAAUUGGGAGAAAGAAAAAAAGCCUUCU
rnacentral:lncRNA from 1 species